rnacentral:lncRNA from 1 species
ACAAUAGGGUUCGUUCUCCUGCGAGAAUGGCAUGCCGCUGCUGAUCUAACAGGAGGCAGAGCUCAGGCGGUAAUGGGAGCAAGGGGGAGCGGCUAUAAAUACAGCUCACCGCUCACCUGCUGCUGUGCAGCCCGGUUCCUAACAGGCCAUGGACAGUGCUGGUCUGUAGCCCAGGAGUUGGGGAAUCCUGCUCUACAGAGUUUCCAACCUCAGAGAUGAAGCAUCCCCUCUGUUGUAGAUGAGCAUGAGAGUGUGGAGCAGAGUUGGCGAGUGCAAGUCGAGCCCAUCAACCUGGACAGCUGUCUCCGUGCUUUCACCAGUGAGGAAGAGCUAGGGGAAGAUGAGAUAUACUACUGUUCCAAGUGUAAGACCCACUGCUUUAGCAACAAAGAAGCUGGAUCUCUGGAGGCUUCCACCCUUCCUGAUUAUUCACCUUAAGCGAUUUCAAUUUGUAAAUGAUCAGUGGAUAAAAUCACAGAAAAUUGUCAAAUUUCCUCGGGAAAGUUUUGAUCCGAGUGCUUUUUUGGUACCACGAGACCCGGCUCUCUGCCAGCAUCAACCACUCACACCCCAGGGGGA